rnacentral:ncRNA from 1 species
GGAUAGAGGCGCAAUUUCCAUCAGUAAUGAGCUUUGCGGGCUUCCGGAUUCCGGGCUCACGAAAGGGGACGUUGCCGAGGUGCCGUGUUUCCGGAAAAAUGCGGUUGCCGGGACGCGGCAUAAUAUGUCGCGUACUGUCACAUUAUGUGGAGAGCUAUCGU